ACAACUCUUUACUAUAAUGCAACCGCCAUGUUUAUGCGGGGAAGACCGAGUUUUGUGUUUUCAACAAAAAGGUUGAUUUAGCGGAUCGUAUAUAUCAGAAUGACACGAAAUUUGUAUUAGUAAAUGAAUCAAAUGAAGAAUCUUCAUGGUUAAAUGCAUAGAAAGGAUAUUUGAAGAGAGCCAAUGAUUGACAUAAGGAGAAGCAGUUAUGAAUUUUGAAAUUGAUAUAAAGGAGAGGUCAUUCAUCACAGAAGAUUUAAUCCAAGUUUACAGUAUGUUGAGAGAAGUUCAAAACAAGCAAUUUGGUUGAAGAGGAGUUGUCAACACGUCAUCUUUGAAUAAGGUCAAUUGUAUUAGAAGUGAAUCCUUAACAGAAAUGAGACAAUAAUCAAAUAAUUCAAAGACUACAUGGAUGUAUUCUGGACUAGCAUUUGUAUGACCUAAAUGUGGUAUUUUUCAUAUGAACGCUUACAAGGC